rnacentral:rRNA from 1 species
GGGUUGUGAGGUUAAGCGACUAAGCGUACACGGUGGAUGCCCUGGCAGUCAGAGGCGAUGAAGGACGUGCUAAUCUGCGAAAAGCGUCGGUAAGGUGAUAUGAACCGUUAUAGCCGGCGAUGUCCGAAUGGGGAAACCCAGUGCAAUUCGUUGCACUAUCGUUUGAUGAAUACAUAGUCAAACGAGGCGAACCGGGGGAACUGAAACAUCUAAGUACCCCGAGGAAAAGAAAUCAACCGAGAUUCCCCCAGUAGCGGCGAGCGAACGGGGAGCAGCCCGGAGUCUGAAUCAGCUUGUGUGUUAGUGGAAGCGUCUGGAAAGUCGCAGGGUACAGGGUGAUACUCCCGUACACUAAAACACACAGGUUGUGAACUCGAAGAGUAGGGCGGGACACGUGGUAUCCUGUCUGAAUAUGGGGGGACCAUCCUCCAAGGCUAAAUACUCCUGACUGACCGAUAGUGAACCAGUACCGUGAGGGAAAGGCGAAAAGAACCCCGGCGAGGGGAGUGAAAAAGAACCUGAAACCGUGUACGUACAAGCAGUAGGAGCCCACUUGUUGGGUGACUGCGUACCUUUUGUAUAAUGGGUCAGCGACUUAUAUUCUGUAGCAAGGUUAACCGUAUAGGGGAGCCGCAGGGAAACCGAGUCUUAACUGGGCGUUAAGUUGCAGGGUAUAGACCCGAAACCCGGUGAUCUAGCCAUGGGCAGGUUGAAGGUUGGGUAACACUAACUGGAGGACCGAACCGACUAAUGUUGAAAAAUUAGCGGAUGACUUGUGGCUGGGGGUGAAAGGCCAAUCAAACCGGGAGAUAGCUGGUUCUCCCCGAAAGCUAUUUAGGUAGCGCCUCGUGAACUCAUCUUCGGGGGUAGAGCACUGUUUCGGCUAGGGGGUCAUCCCGACUUACCAACCCGAUGCAAACUACGAAUACCGAAGAAUGUUAUCACGGGAGACACACGGCGGGUGCUAACGUCCGUCGUGAAGAGGGAAACAACCCAGACCGCCAGCUAAGGUCCCAAAGUCAUGGUUAAGUGGGAAACGAUGUGGGAAGGCCCAGACAGCCAGGAUGUUGGCUUAGAAGCAGCCAUCAUUUAAAGAAAGCGUAAUAGCUCACUGGUCGAGUCGGCCUGCGCGGAAGAUGUAACGGGGCUAAACCAUGCACCGAAGCUGCGGCAGCGACACUAUGUGUUGUUGGGUAGGGGAGCGUUCUGUAAGCCGUUGAAGGUGGCCUGUGAGGGUUGCUGGAGGUAUCAGAAGUGCGAAUGCUGACAUAAGUAACGAUAAUGCGGGUGAAAAACCCGCACGCCGGAAGACCAAGGGUUCCUGUCCAACGUUAAUCGGGGCAGGGUGAGUCGACCCCUAAGGCGAGGCCGAAAGGCGUAGUCGAUGGGAAACAGGUUAAUAUUCCUGUACUCGGUGUUACUGCGAAGGGGGGACGGAGAAGGCUAUGUUGGCCGGGCGACGGUUGUCCCGGUUUAAGCAUGUAGGCGGAUGUUCCAGGUAAAUCCGGAACGUCACUAACGCUGAGGUGUGAUGACGAGGCACUACGGUGCUGAAGUGACAAAUGCCCUGCUUCCAGGAAAAGCCUCUAAGCAUCAGGUAACAUCAAAUCGUACCCCAAACCGACACAGGUGGUCAGGUAGAGAAUACCAAGGCGCUUGAGAGAACUCGGGUGAAGGAACUAGGCAAAAUGGUGCCGUAACUUCGGGAGAAGGCACGCUGAUGGUAGGUGAAGUGACUUGCUCAUGGAGCUGAAAUCAGUCGAAGAUACCAGCUGGCUGCAACUGUUUAUUAAAAACACAGCACUGUGCAAACACGAAAGUGGACGUAUACGGUGUGACGCCUGCCCGGUGCCGGAAGGUUAAUUGAUGGGGUUAUCCGUAAGGAGAAGCUCUUGAUCGAAGCCCCGGUAAACGGCGGCCGUAACUAUAACGGUCCUAAGGUAGCGAAAUUCCUUGUCGGGUAAGUUCCGACCUGCACGAAUGGCGUAAUGAUGGCCAGGCUGUCUCCACCCGAGACUCAGUGAAAUUGAACUCGCUGUGAAGAUGCAGUGUACCCGCGGCAAGACGGAAAGACCCCGUGAACCUUUACUAUAGCUUGACACUGAACACUGGUCCUUGAUGUGUAGGAUAGGUGGGAGGCUUUGAAGUGUGGACGCCAGUCUGCAUGGAGCCAUCCUUGAAAUACCACCCUUUAAUGGCUGGUGUUCUAACGUGGGCCCCUGAUCGGGGUUGCGGACAGUGUCUGGUGGGUAGUUUGACUGGGGCGGUCUCCUCCUAAAGAGUAACGGAGGAGCACGAAGGUCAGCUAAUCCUGGUCGGACAUCAGGAGGUUAGUGCAAUGGCAUAAGCUGGCUUGACUGCGAGCGUGACGGCGCGAGCAGGUGCGAAAGCAGGUCAUAGUGAUCCGGUGGUUCUGAAUGGAAGGGCCAUCGCUCAACGGAUAAAAGGUACUCCGGGGAUAACAGGCUGAUACCGCCCAAGAGUUCAUAUCGACGGCGGUGUUUGGCACCUCGAUGUCGGCUCAUCACAUCCUGGGGCUGAAGUAGGUCCCAAGGGUAUGGCUGUUCGCCAUUUAAAGUGGUACGCGAGCUGGGUUUAGAACGUCGUGAGACAGUUCGGUCCCUAUCUGCCGUGGGCGCUGGAGAAUUGAGGGGGGCUGCUCCUAGUACGAGAGGACCGGAGUGGACGCAUCACUGGUGUUCGGGUUGUCAUGCCAAUGGCAUUGCCCGGUAGCUAAAUGCGGAAGAGAUAAGUGCUGAAAGCAUCUAAGCACGAAACUUGCCCCGAGAUGAGUUCUCCCUGACCCUUUAAGGGUCCUGAAGGAACGUUGAAGACGACGACGUUGAUAGGCCGGGUGUGUAAGCGCAGCGAUGCGUUGAGCUAACCGGUACUAAUGAACCGUGAGGCUUAACCUUACAACGCCGAAG